rnacentral:tRNA from 1 species
GCCUAGCUGGCUCAGUCGGUAGAGCACGAGACUCUUGAUCUUGGGGUUGUGAGUUUGAGCCCCAUGUUAGGCA